GAUGAACGCUAGCGAUAGGCUUAACACAUGCAAGUCGAGGGGCAGCAUGGUCUUAGCUUGCUAAGACUGAUGGCGACCGGCGCACGGGUGCGUAACGCGUAUGCAACUUGCCUCACAGAGGGGGAUAACCCGUCGAAAGACGGACUAAUACCGCGUACACUUGGGAUAGGGCAUCCUGACCCAAGGAAAUGAAAUUCGCUGUGAGAUAGGCAUGCGUCCCAUUAGCUAGUUGGUGAGGUAACGGCUCACCAAGGCGACGAUGGGUAGGGGAACUGAGAGGUUGAACCCCCACACUGGUACUGAGACACGGACCAGACUCCUACGGGAGGCAGCAGUGAGGAAUAUUGGUCAAUGGGCGAGAGCCUGAACCAGCCAAGUCGCGUGAAGGAUGACUGUCUUAUGGAUGGUAAACUUCUUUUAUACGGGAAUAACAAGAGUCACGUGUGGCUCCCUGCAUGUACCGUAUGAAUAAGCAGCGGCUAACUCCGUG
rnacentral:rRNA from 1 species